AUUGAACGCUGGCGGAAUGCUUUACACAUGCAAGUCGAACGGUAGAGGGGGCAACCCCUCGAGAGUGGCGAACGGGUGAGUAAUAUAUCGGAACGUGCCCAGUCGUGGGGGAUAACGUAGCGAAAGUUACGCUAAUACCGCAUACGAUCUAAGGAUGAAAGCGGGGGAUCGCAAGACCUCGCGCGAUUGGAGCGGCCGAUAUCAGAUUAGGUAGUUGGUGGGGUAAAGGCCCACCAAGCCAACGAUCUGUAGCUGGCCUGAGAGGACGACCAACCACACUGGAACUGAGAAACGGGCCAGACUCCUACGGGAGGCAGCAGUGGGGAAUUUUGGACAAUGGGCGAAAGCCUGAUCCAGCCAUUCCGCGUGCAGGAUGAAGGCCCUCGGGUUGUAAACUGCUUUUGUACAGAACGAAAAGGUUUCUACUAAUACUAGGAGCUCAUGACGGUACUGUAAGAAUAAGCACCGGCUAACUACGUGCCAGCCGCCGCAGUAA
rnacentral:rRNA from 1 species